GACGAACGCUGGCGGCGUGCCUAAUACAUGCAAGUAGAACGCACAGUUUAUACCGUAGCUUGCUACACCAUAAACUGUGAGUUGCGAACGGGUGAGUAACGCGUAGGUAACCUGCCUGGUAGCGGGGGAUAACUAUUGGAAACGAUAGCUAAUACCGCAUAAUAUUAAUUAUUGCAUGAUAAUUGAUUGAAAGAUGCAAUUGCAUCACUACCAGAUGGACCUGCGUUGUAUUAGCUAGUAGGUGAGGUAACGGCUCACCUAGGCGACGAUACAUAGCCGAUCUGAGAGGGUGAUCGGCCACACUGGGACUGAGACACGGCCCAGACUCCUACGGGAGGCAGCAGUAGGGAAUCGUCGGCAAUGGACGAAAGUCUGACCGAGCAACGCCGAGUGAGUGAAGAAGGUUGUCGGAUCGUAAAGCUCGGUUGUAAGAGAAGAACGGGUGUGAGAGUGGAAAGUUCACACUGUGACGGUAUCUUACCAGAAAGGGCCGGCUAACUACGUG
rnacentral:rRNA from 1 species